ensembl:lncRNA
GGCUUAAAUACACAGGGAAAAUGAGGGACAGCAAGCAAGCAAGCAAGCAAAAUUUAUUUAUAUAGCGCUUUUUACAACAGGUGUUGUCACAAAGCAGCUUUACAGAACAAUCAGUAUUACAGAGAGAAGAGAAAAGAAGAAAGAAAAUUCGGGUCCGAGCCCCCAUGAGCAAGCCAGCGGUGGCAAGGAAAAACUCCCUAAAAGAGGAAGAAACCUUGAGAGGAACCAAGACUCAGAAGGGGAACCCAUCCUCCUAUGGUCGACACCGGAGGCAAACAUUACAUUAUUAGUAUGAAGAUAACAGGUGAUAACAAUCAGGGCGGAGUUACAAAACCAAAACAAACGCACAUGGAGUGGGAGGAGCCAAUCAGACACAGAACGGGAAACAGGAACAGAUGAAACAAAACGAGGACGAAAGAUGGAGGGAGGACGAGGAGGCACAACACAAAACGACACCGAACGAGGGACGACCGGAGAAACAGGACAAGGAAAACAAGAACGAACGACAGACCACGCAAAAGACAGGGGAACAGGCACCAAGACAGACACAGGAACGGAAACAGGCACACAGACAGAAACAGGAAAGAAAAGACAACAGCAGGGAACAGGACAAAACCAGGGACCGAACAGGGCAGAAACGAAGGAACAGAAGGACCACGGGGAACAGAGACAGUCGAGGGCGGGAUGGGCGGGAACAAAGGGGCUGUAAAGUCCACGGGGGCAGGCGGGCCUGCUACGACGUCCAUAGAGACUGGCGGCGGGUCCUGAGGCGGUGCGACUGGCGGUGGGUCCGGAGGCGGGGCCACGGAAUCAGGCUUGCCGCGGGGUGCGGCCACGGCCAUCACUCAACUGCUUCAGCCCUGAAUGACUUCCGACCUGUUGCACUCACCCCAAUCAUCUCCAAGUGCUUUGAAAGACUAGUUCUUUCCCACCUGAAGUUCUGCCUACCUGCUACGCUGGACCCAAACCAGUUCGCAUAUCGGAGCAACAGAUCCACUGAGGACGCCAUCUCCACAGCACUACACACUGCACUGACCCACCUGGACUGUCAGAACUCAUAUGUGAGAAUGCUCUUCAUUGAUUUCAGUUCAGCAUUUAACACAGUGAUCCCGUCCAUGCUGAUAUCCAAGCUCAACCAUCUGGGCAUCAGCACAUCACUUUGCAAC